UAGUCAUAUGCUUGUCUCAAAGAUUAAGCCAUGCAAGUCUAAGGGUAAAACACUGUUUACCGUAAACCUGCGAAUAGCUCAUUAAAUCAGUUAUAAUCUAUUUGAUAAUUUAAUUUCUUAACUGGAUAACCGUAGUAAUUCUAGAGCUAAUACAUGCAAAAAAUUCAGACUUUUCUCUUUUUGUAAAAGGAAAGGGGAAGGAAUGAAUGUAUUUAUUGGGUUAAAAAAAAUCAGUUUUUUGGGUUGGGGCAACUCAAUUCAAAAAAAACUUUAAAAAAUUUGGUGAAUCACAGUAAAUUUACGAAUCGAAUUUCUUUUUUUUAAAAGGGGAUUUGAUGAUACAAAUGAGUUUCUGACCUAUCAACUUUCGAUGGUAGUGUAUUGGACUACCAUGGUUAUGACGGGUAACGGAGAAUUUGGGUUUGAUUCCGGAGAAAAAGCCUGAGAGACGGCUAUUACUUCCAAGGAAGGCAGCAGGCGCGUAAAUUACCCAAUCCUAAUUCGGGGAGGUAGUGACAAGAAAUACUGAUAUUGAUCCCAACGGGAACAAUGAUUGGAAUGAGAACAAUUUAAAAAACUUAACGACUAACAAUU
rnacentral:rRNA from 1 species